AGAACGAACGCUGGCGGCGCGUUUUAAGCAUGCAAGUCGAACGGUAGAGUGGGCUUCGGCCUACUUGAGAGUGGCGAACGGGUGAGUAACACGUAGGUGAUCUACCAUGGAGUCCGGGAUAGCUUGUGGAAACACAGGGUAAGACUGGAUGUGACCCUAUUGCUGCGGUGAUAGGGGGAAAGGCGCUAUGGCGCUGCUCUAUGAUGAGCCUGCGGUCCAUUAGCUAGUUGGUGGGGUAAGGGCCUACCAAGGCGACGAUGGAUAGCCGGCCUGAGAGGGUGAACGGCCACACUGGGACUGAGACACGGCCCAGACUCCUACGGGAGGCAGCAGCUAAGAAUCUUCCGCAAUGGGCGAAAGCCUGACGGAGCGACGCCGCGUGGACGAAGAAGGCCGGAAGGUUGUAAAGUCCUUUUGCAGAUGAAGAAUAAGGUGGUGAGGGAAUGCGCCACUGAUGACGUUAGUCUGUGAAUAAGCCCCGGCUAAUUACGUGCCAGCAGCCGCGGUAACACGUAAGGGGCGAGCGUUGUUCGGAAUUAUUGGGCGUAAAGGGCGUGUAGGCGGUCGUGCAAGCCUGGUGUGUAAGGCUACGGCUUAACCGUAGGAUUGCGCUGGGAACUGCAUGGCUAGAGUCCGGAAAGGGGAGGUAGAAUUCCUGGUGUAGGGGUGAAAUCUGUAGAUAUCAGGAAGAAUACCGGUGGCGAAGGCGACCUCCUGGUCUAGGACUGACGCUGAGGCGCGAAAGCGUGGGGAGCGAACAGGAUUAGAUACCCUGGUAGUCCACGCUGUAAACGAUGUGCACUAGGUGUUGGGGUGACGUAGCCUCAGUGCCGUAGCUAACGCGAUAAGUGCACCGCCCUGGGGAGUAUGCUCGCAAGGGUGAAACUCAAACGAAUUGACGGUGGCCCGCACAAGCGGUGGAGCAUGUGGUUUAAUGUCGAUGAUAACGCGGAGGAACCUUACCAGGGCUUGACAUUGCCGUGGUGGCGGUAGAGAUACCGCUUCCCUUCGGGGCACGGUAACAAGGUGCUGCAUGGCUGUCGUCAGCUCGUGCUGUGACGUGUUGGGGUUAGUCCCGCACGAGCGCAACCCCUAACUGUUGCUGNUUUUUGCCCAACAGGUUAAGCUGGGAUCAGACGGAUGCCGGUGACAAACCGGAGGANNAANNNGGGNUUUGGGGANCGGAACGUCAAGUCAUAGGCCCUUAUGCUGGGCACAACGGCACAAUGCCGGACAGAGCGAGGCGAGACCGCGAGGUGGAGCAAAUCGCAGAAAGCCGGUCCCAGUCGGAUCGGAGUCUGAAACCCGACUUCGUGAAGGUGGAAUCGCUAGUAAUCGCACAUCAGCAUGGUGCGGUGAAUACGUUCCCGGGCCUUGUACACACCGCCCGUCACACCACCCGAGUUGGGGGUACCCGAAGUCGCUUGUCUAACCGUGCAAACGGGGGACGGUGCCGAAGUAUGCCUGUAAGGGGGGUGAAG
rnacentral:rRNA from 1 species